CCUACGGGAGGCAGCAGUGAGGAAUCUUCCGCAAUGGGCGAAAGCCUGACGGAGCGACACCGCGUGAAGGAUGAAGCCCUUUUCGGGUGUAAACUUCUGUUCUGAGGGACGAAAUUUUUGACGGUACCUCAGAAGAAAGCACCGGCUAAUUCUGUGCCAGCAGCCGCGGUAAGACAGAAGGUGCGAGCGUUACUCGGAAUUACUGGGCGUAAAGCGUCCGCAGGUUUUUCUGCACGUCUGGCGUAAAAGCACGGAGCUCAACUCCGUGUAUGUGCCGGAUACGACAGGAAUAGAGUCACUCAGAGGCAUCUGGAAUGCCGUGUGUAGGGGUAAAAUCCGUUGAUCCACGGUAGAACGCCAAAAGCGAAGGCAGGAUGCUGGGGGUGUACUGACACUCAUGGACGAAAGCGUGGGGAGCAAACGGGAUUAGAUACCCUGGU
rnacentral:rRNA from 1 species